rnacentral:misc_RNA from 1 species
UACGUAGGGUGCGAGCGUUGUCCGGAAUUAUUGGGCGUAAAGAGCUCGUAGGCGGUUUGUCGCGUCGGCCGUGGAAACUGGAGGCUUAACCUUCAGCGUGCGGUCGAUACGGGCAGACUUGAGUUCGGUAGGGGAGUCUGGAAUUCCUGGUGUAGCGGUGAAAUGCGCAGAUAUCAGGAGGAACACCGGUGGCGAAGGCGGGACUCUGGGCCGAUACUGACGCUGAGGAGCGAAAGCGUGGGGAGCGAACAGG